GCAUUUAGAAGACUCUAUGAACAAGUUGAUCUUGGAUGGGUUUAUGCCAUUACCAAAUAUGAACCUAUUGCAAAAAUAGCUGAUGCUGUAUACGGUGUUUGGGCUAAAUAUCGUCUUCCAAUCACAGGUCGACCACCUUUAGAAGAGAUUUUGGAGGCGCGAAAGAAGAACAAGGGUGAAGCAUGUAAUGACAAAAAUGCUUGUAAAACGUGAACUUGCUCAAUACUUGCCAGAAGUAGAGUUUUCAGGGCUCGCUCUUUAUUUGCUUCCAUAUAUCAUCUUCAAAAUUCAGCUGUAUCUGUGCUCAUAUCCAGAAGCCGUAACAAGAUAAAAGAGGCGUGGCAGUUCCCUCAAAAUACUCUCUUUGCCUCAAGAAAGAAAAUACAUUUGUAGUCUUUUUUUCAAUCUCACUGCUACAUAAUUUGGUAUAGCAAUACGAGUGUAAAUUUUAGAUUCAUCUACAUUUUUCAAGUAACCAUCAAAUUGUCUAGUUGAUAUGUGCUCUUGUUAUGAUAUUAAGUAUCUCACAUGGUUUAAAUGCAAUCUUAACUACGUGUAUUAGGCU